GUGAGAUGAAUGAUGUGGGCGUUGUGAUGUGGUGUCAGGUUACUGUGGAUCUUCUGACCAUGUGUCAGAAUGAGGAUCGUUUGCGUUAGGACUGUGGUUGACCAGGGGUAACUGAAACACAGAAAGUAAAACCACGGACAAGGGCAUCUACUAUUUCUGGGACCAAAGUGGAAAAGCACCAAGUGCCUGAGUCACAAGGCUGUGAUGGCGGUGGCCUCUGGAGAGUUAACAGGAGAGUAGAGUGAUGGAGGAGUAAAGGAGGCCAACUUUAUUCAUAAUGAUUGCAUUUAUUUUAUGAAAACAUACCCGAAGCUAAAUGACAAAGAACAAUAGGUGUUUUGUCAGCCUGAACAGAACCCAAGUGUUGCACAUAAAAUGAAGAAAAUAGCCACACAAUCAGGAAGAAAAGCCCCACAUAUUGAGUGAAAAUACUUGCUGAAUGUCCUACAUUGUCUCCUUAUAAGCCUGGAGUGAAGAUAAAUAAUUAAUAUCUGUGAAUAUAUUCUGUGGAGACCAGAAGGAAACCAAUAAGAAACUUCCAAGGUGAAAGAAGAUAUAUCAGUGGGCCUUUCAUUCUUGAUCAUCAGUUUAAGAAAAAUGAUGCUCAGUCAAUGCCUAAUGAACCACAAGCCAACAUCUUUUCUCUGCUUCUUUUACUAGUGGACGUUCUUUUAUUUUUCACUUGGGAUUACAUUUUAUUAUUUGUUGUUUUUCUUAAUAAAAAAUGGAGUAACAGUCUCACAUGAAAUGGAUCAGUGUAAGGCUGUUCACUGGGGUCCUUUUGCUUCCUAUUGCCAAACAAGCAUCGAUUUCAAUAGAACCAUUUAAUGAUUGAAGGUUUCAUUUUCUCCAAGUCACAGAAGCCACUCUACUUUAGGUACUUUAGACCAGUGAUGCCCAAUAGAAAUUUUGUGGAUGAUGGAUAUAUUCUGUUCAAUACAGAAGCCACUGGCCACAGGUGGCUAUUGAACACUUGAAAUGUGGUUAGUGAGUCUGAAGAAUGAAAAUUUUAACUUUUGUGAAAAUCUAAUUCAAGUGCAAAUAGCCAUCAUUGGCUAGUAGCUAUCAUAUGGAACCAACAGUUCUAAACUGCCAGAAGUGAUGCUUUUGUAACCUAAGAAACAUAGCCCAAAGUCACCUAUUCCAAGACCAGUUUUGAUGAAAGCCUGAUUCCUGCUCUUACCGGCAUACAGUAUGCGCCAAACAACAACUGGUUGAUGAGAGAAAUCUCUAAUAUCGGUGGGAAAACCUGAUUGUGAUAAAACUUUAUAAACCUAACCCUCGGGGUACUUGGGUGGCUCAGUGUUUAGGCAUCUGCCUUCAGCUGAGGGCAUGAUCCCUGGGGAC